GGAAUAUUGGGCAAUGGGCGCAAGCCUGACCCAGCGACGCCGCGUGAGGGAUGAAGGCCUUCGGGUUGUAAACCUCUUUCAGUAGGGAAGAAGCGAAAGUGACGGUACCUAAAGAAGAAGCACCGGCUAACUAUGUGCCAGCAGCCGCGGUAAUACAUAGGGUGCAAGCGUUGUCCGGAAUUAUUGGGCGUAAAGAGCUCGUAGGUCGUUUGCCGCGUCGAUUGUGAAAAUCUGAGGCUCAACCUCAGACCUGCAGUCGAUACGGGCAAACUAGAGUGUGGUAGGGGAGACUGGAAUUCCUGGUGUAGCGGUGGAAUGCGCAGAUAUCAGGAGGAACACCAAUGGCGAAGGCAGGUCUCUGGGCCAUAACUGACACUGAGGAGCGAAAGCGCGGGGAGCGAACAGGAUUAGAUACCCUGGUAGUCCGCGCCGUAAACGGUGGGCACUAGCUGUGAGAGCCUUCCACGGUUCUCGCGACGCAGCAAACGCAUUAAGUGCCCCGCCUGGGGAGUACGAUCGCAAGAUUAAAACUCAAAGGAAUUGACGG
rnacentral:rRNA from 1 species